UCCAUGGUGGACUAGAGGCUAACAGGCGGCACUCUCACCGCCAUAGCCCGGGUUCAAUUCCCAGUCAGGGAG